rnacentral:rRNA from 1 species
UACGGAGGUUCCAAGCGUUGUUCGGAAUUACUGGGCGUAAAGGGAGCGCAGGUGGGCGGUCCAGUCCAAAGUGGAAGCCCGGGGCUUAACCCCGGAAGGGCUUUGGAUACUAGCCGUCUUGAGUACGCGAGAGGAAGGCGGAAUUCAGGGUGUAGCGGUGAAAUGCUUAGAUAUCCUGAGGAACACCGGUGGCGAAAGCGGCCUUCUGGCGCGAAACUGACACUGAGGCUCGAAAGCGUGGGGAGCAAACGGGAUUAGAUACCCCGGUAGUCCACGCCGUAAACGUUGUGCACUAGGUGUGGGAGGUAUCGACCCCUUCCGUGCCGCAGCUAACGCAUUAAGUGCACCGCCUGGGGAGUACGGUCGCAAGACUGAA